GCACUGGUGAUUCAAAGGUAGAAUUUCCCCCUUCCAUGCGGGAGACCCGAGUUCGAUUUCCAUCCAGUGCA
rnacentral:tRNA from 1 species